UAACAUAUGGCAUUUUGUUUCAAUUUCUCUUUACCUGAUUGUGUUACUUAUGCACAAUCACCAUACUUGACAUAGGUCCCUGCACUUCCGUUGACGAGUAUUUUGUCAGCAUCUCGAUGCGGAGGUACAACUUUAGCUGAUCUUCGUCAUGUUUUACAUUGUUUCUCAGUAUUUUUACUGCAAUGUGGAGGUCAGAUUCUAGCUGAUAUAUCUUCAUGCUUUACCUUGUUUACCAAUGUCCCAAUGUGGACGUAAAGAUUCUAGCUGAUAUAUCUUCAUGUUUUACCUUGUUUACCAAUGUCCCAAAAUUUUGUUUCGUCUUUGCUUUGAAUUAAUUUUCCUUACUUUGACUGAGUAGGACAUUUAUUUGAAAUACUAAAUUGUGGUGUCGCUACCUCUAAGGACCACAGCGUUGUAGCGCCCUUGGCACAAGGUGACCAUCUUCAGCGCAUCGUGGUGUCGCUGCCCACACGAUCUCUACAAACACCACAAAAGGCUACAGGACCGACAAGGCCGGUGGCCUGACCACUGAAUCACGUUGUUGUGCGGGCGCCUUGAUCUUGCAUGCGGCCUUCUAAAGCCCCAGGGGCCAAGCUCGCUGGAGCGUCGCCGACAGGCUCUCUUUUGCACAGGAGAAAAUGGUUGGAUAUAUGUGCCUCCUCCGUCUCUUAUUCCCUGAAAUGUAAUUUGAUGACUCAUUGAUGUCACACUCGCUUAGGAUUAAACUGCACAGGUUAGAUUGACAUUUUGCCCUGUGUUUAAUUACUACAUGCACUGCACGCUGAUCCAUGUAUAUAUUGGCUCCCCUAUAUAUACCUCUAUUGGUGAAAAGUUUUGACUUUCGAGUUUU
rnacentral:lncRNA from 1 species